GUGGGAUGGUUUGGCAGUGUACCUCUUAGUUAGCUGUUGUACAUAUUCCAGCAACUAAGUACACUUCCAUAUUAUUGCACAAU
rnacentral:pre_miRNA from 1 species